CCUACGGGUGGCAGCAGUGGGGAAUAUUGCACAAUGGGGGAAACCCUGAUGCAGCGACGCCGCGUGAAGGAAGAAGUCUCUCGGUAUGUAAACUUCUAUCAUCAGGGAAGAACAUGACGGUACCUUACUAAUAAGCACCGGCUAACUACGUGCCAGCAGCCGCGGUCAUACGUAGGGGGCGAGCGUUAUCCGGAUUGCCUGGGUGUAAAGGGAUCUUUAACGGAAGAGCAAGUCUGAUGUGAAAGGCUGGGGCCUAACCCCAGGACUCUAUUGGAAACUGUUUUUCUCGAGUGCCGGAGAGGUAAGUGGAAUUUCUAGUGUAGAGGUGAAAUGCGUAGAUAUUAGGAGGAACACCAGUGGCGAAGGCGGCUUACUGGACGGGAACUGACGUUGAGGCUCGAAAGCGUGGGGAGCAAACAGGAUUAGAUACCCGGGUAGUC
rnacentral:rRNA from 1 species